rnacentral:hammerhead_ribozyme from 1 species
AUCCACCUGACGAGUCCUACAUAGAAUGGAACGCUCGUCCUGAAU